rnacentral:rRNA from 1 species
ACGGAGGAUCCAAGCGUUAUCCGGAUUUAUUGGGUUUAAAGGGUGCGCAGGCGGAUCAAUAAGUCAGGGGUGAAAAAUUUCAGCUUAACUGGAAUCGUGCCUUUGAUACUGUUGGACUAGAGUAUAAUUGACGUGACUGGAAUGUGAUGUGAAGCGGAUCAAUGAUUAGUUAUGUCACAAAACGCCAAUCGUGGAGAGAAGUCAAGAAAUUAUUACUGACGUGCAUGCGUGAAAGCGUGUUGAUCACACAG